rnacentral:misc_RNA from 1 species
AACGAUUUUGGGUUAAAUCAUCGGUUUCUCCACCCAAAUUGAAAAAAUUUCAAUCCCACAGAUUAACAAAAUCAAAUUCCCAAAAAUCGAAUCCAGAAAACAGGUUAACAAAAUUUCAACAAAAUCAAAAUGAAAAACCAGUAAACCUAGAAUGUUGAGGCAAUACAACAUCAAAUUCCUUCUACGGCACUGACGAUGACGCAAGGCAAACCCAGAAUGUCGAGGCAAUGCAACAUGCAGCGCCGGUGAGGUGAACCCAUGACCCUAGUCCCAAAUGGUGAUAUGUAUAGCAAAAGAAAAGACCAGAACCAUAAUCAACACAUCACAUUCACACCUAGAAGAAUCAGAGACGCAAAGAAUAAAUAGGGGCUGUAAUAGGAAGCAACUGAUGGUGAUGGAUAUGUCCAGAGGGAGGGAGAAGAAGACGAUAGCAGAUUCAAUUGACCAUUAGAGAAGAAUUCUCAAAGAAGAAGAAGAA